CUCUGCGUGCGCCGGAGGCUGCCGUGGCGGGUGGGCCGCCUGACUUCUCCUCCCGGCCAGUUCUCGAGCGCCUCACCGGGCCUCGCCCUGCAGCCUCGCUCUCGCUGGCGCUGCGCGGCCUAGGGGACUGGGCUGCUGGCCUCCGGGUGCGGGGUGGGGGCAGGCUCCGACCUGGGGCGUCCUGGCCGCGCGAGCCGCGGGAUGGGGGCCCGGGCCGCGGAGGAGGCGCCGCUGGUGUGUCCCUUGGUGGAGAGGGCGCUGCCGGCCCUGCGCGGUUUCCAGCCAGGAAGCUUCGGGAAGCCUGGACGUCUGCUCACUGGAGAUGACACGUGCGUGGGGUGUUGGGAGGUGACUUCGCCUGUGAUGGACUUCCAGUGUGAGCACUGGCCAGAGUGACCAGGCUGACCAGCACCAGCCCUGAUCCAGAUGCAGAGGCCAGGAUGUGGGCCCAGCCCUGUGCCAGGAGGCUGGCUGGAAUAAAGGUACAGAUAGAGGCCUCACCCCCUCUGGGACCACUGGCACUCAGGGUGUUUGCAGCCUCAGAGCCCACCUGCCCCCAGGGCCACAGCUGCAUCUCCUGCCCUGCUGUCAUUACAGGGAUGGGCAGGCUGGCAUGGGGGCAGCCGCUGCCCCUGCCUGGGUGUUGCUGUGUAUUCCUGCCGGCCAGGGGCCACUGCCAGGACCACGCCUCCCUUUUCAUAUCCCGAUUCUUAAGUUCUGCUAUUGUGGUAUUCUGGUGGAGAAAAAAGAACCGCGUGGCUGUUUUUGAACUGCCUGGAACCUAAGACCCUGAAUUCUUUUCCCCCCCAAGGGGAAAAUCUAUAUGGAAAACAUUUAUUUUAAAAUACAGGAUGAAGUGAAUUAAAAGAUUUAAAUGCACAUUUCUUUAAGGAUAAUAUUUCUGUGUUGGCAAAAUUUGAGAGUAAAUUGGUCUUGAAUGGAAUGGAUUGUCUUGACUCACACAUUGCGGAGCAGAGCCCGCCCUGAAGAAAGGUGUUGCUGUGGUGGGAUCUUCCCACGAGGGUCCUUGCCUGUUCUCCUAGGGGAUGGUUGCUGGGUGCCCUGGGCUACUGGGGAGAGCGUACGGGGCUGGAGAAGAUGGCCAUUCCUGGGCUGUUUCCUAGGGAAUGAGUUGUACAUCUCAUGGCUGGAUUUUGUAAAAUCAGUUUUUAAAAUACCGCAUAUAUCUGUUUUCUUACUGGAACACCUUUUUCUUGGUCUGUUGUGCACAGCCCAGGUUUGGGGGGUACUGGUCAUUGACUGUUUCAGAAGCCGCUGUGUUUGGGGAACUGCCCUGGCGGCUUCAGAGGUGUGUGUGGGUUGAAGGGCAGGCAGCUCUGCAAUAGACCUCACCUUGGACUAACACCUGAGGGCUGCCUCGCCAGGAAGGAUUCAGGGGCUCAACCCCAGCCUGAGUGCCUGGGCUGGGUGGAUCCACAGCGGGGCGAAGGGUCCCACACA
rnacentral:lncRNA from 1 species